GACGAACGCUGGCGGCGUGCUUAACACAUGCAAGUCGAACGGUGAAGGGACCGGUCUUUGCUGGUUCUGGAUGAGUGGCGAACGGGUGAGUAACACGUGAGUAACCUGCCCCCUUCUUCUGGAUAACCGCAUGAAAGUGUGGCUAAUACGGGAUAUUCUGCGCCUGCUGCAUGGUGGGUGUGGGAAAGAUAUUGUUUCGGUGGGGGAUGGGCUCGCGGCCUAUCAGCUUGUUGGUGGGGUGAUGGCCUACCAAGGCGGUGACGGGUAGCCGGCCUGAGAGGGUGGACGGUCACACUGGGACUGAGACACGGCCCAGACUCCUACGGGAGGCAGCAGUGGGGAAUAGUGCACAAUGGGCGCAAGCCUGAUGCAGCGACGCCGCGGGAGGGAUGGAGGCCUUCGGGUUGUAAACCUCUUUCGCCAGUGAAGCAGGCCUGUCCCUUGUGUGGGUGGGUUGACGGUAGCUGGAUAAGAAGCGCCGGCUAACUACGUG
rnacentral:rRNA from 1 species